rnacentral:rRNA from 1 species
UACGAAGGGGGCUAGCGUUGCUCGGAAUCACUGGGCGUAAAGGGUGCGUAGGCGGGUCUUUAAGUCAGGGGUGAAAUCCUGGAGCUCAACUCCAGAACUGCCCUUGAUACUGAGGAUCUUGAGUUCGGGGAGAGGUGAGUGGAACUGCGAAGUGUAGAGGUGAAAUUCGUAGAUAUUCGCAAGAACACCAGUGGCGAAGGCGGCUCACUGGCCCGAUACUGGACGCUGAGGCACGAAAGCGUGGGGGAGCAAACAGG